rnacentral:lncRNA from 1 species
ACUAGAUGACCCGCCCCCUCGGGCUGUCGGGGGGUCGAGACAGUGGAGUGUUCCUGAUGCCAGCUCACGGAGGGAAUCCAGGGAAUUAGCUGAUGCCAAGAGCCUCUUUUUGGCCAGCACUUACUAAGCACCAGAGACACAGCGAGAAGCAGAAGCAUACGAGCACAUCAGUGUGAUUCUGCUGUGAUGAAGGGCAAGAGAGGGCUCACUUUCCGGCGUGACAUUCAAGCUAGCCCCGAGGCCUGAGCAGGACCCGCCCAGGGGAAGAUCUGGAGGAAAGCCAUCUGAACAUACAACAAGAGCAAAGGCCUGGUGGAGUCAAGACCACCUUGGCUGCCAGGUGGAAUGGUGGAAUAACUCAGGAGUCUGUCAGGUCUCUGAGAUGUCAAACGGGCUUGGCACACACCCAGGAGCUCAAUGCUGCUGGGAGCUGAGCAGCUGGGAGCAAGGAGCCCUCAUCCCCACUGAUGAAGAGGCCAGCCCAGGUUCUAGGCUAAGCAGGCCUGUGAUUAUAAACAGCAGUGUCUCCCUGGACAAGUUUCUUGACCCUGAGAAGAAUGUUAGACCAUCAACUUUGUGAGGGGACAGGCAG